AUUGAACGCUGGCGGCAUGCCUUACACAUGCAAGUCGAACGGUAACAGGUUAAGCUGACGAGUGGCGAACGGGUGAGUAAUAUAUCGGAACGUGCCCAGUCGUGGGGGAUAACUGCUCGAAAGAGCAGCUAAUACCGCAUACGACCUGAGGGUGAAAGCGGGGGAUCGCAAGACCUCGCGCAAUUGGAGCGGCCGAUGGC
rnacentral:rRNA from 1 species